AUGGCGCGGCGUCACCCCGCGGCCACCUCAGCUAAGCGCCGCGCCGCCCCUCCAAACCCUAGCCCGACCCCUCCGGCCGCCGACGGAUCGCAUCCGCUCCUCCACGCGGCUCGCCGCGGCGACCUCCGCCUCUUCAAGAGGCUGGUGAGAGAUCUGGAUAAGGGCAGGGGCCGCCACAGGGAGGUGGUGGAUGCGGCCAAGGAAGAAGGUCUCGGGGCGCUGCACUUCGCCGCCGGGAAGGGGAGGCUACGGGUGUGCAGGUACCUGGUCGAGGGGCUAGGGGUCGAUGUGGACGCCGUCGAUGACGCAGGUCGAACGCCUCUGCUUGUGGCAUUGCUUCGUGGAAUCAUGGAUACAGCCAGUUAUCUUCUUGAUCAUGGGGCAGAUCCAGGCAAGGCUGACGACGAAGGGUUUGCCCCACUUCACCAUGCUGCUACAGCAGACCGUAAAAUGGUGGAACUCUUGCUUGCAAAGGGAGUCUCUGUUGACCCAGUAUGUGUUGAUGGGACACCACUGUAUGCCGCUGCCAUUGAAGGGCAUGAUGAAAUUAUGCAAAUUUUGUUGGAGAACAACGCGGAUUGUAACAAGAAAAUACCUGGUAUUGACACCCCUCUUCUUGUUGCUAUAACUGCUCCCUCAGUGAAAUGUGUCAAGCUCCUGGUUGAGGCUGGUGCGGAUGUCAAUGACGGUAUUCUAGCCCCUUUAGUUGUUGCUGCUGAGAUGAAAGGCUCAACUGCAUGCUUGAAGUUGUUACUGGAAGCUGGUGCCGACCCUAAUGUUCCUGACCCUUCUGGUAGGUUUCCAAUAGAACUCGCUGCACAGCGCGGUACAAGGGAAGGUGUUGAGAUCUUAUUUCCUGUAACUUGUAUUCCAACUGUGCAUGAUUGGAGCGUUGACGGAAUAAUACAGCAUGCAAGAGUGUCUAGGAAACAGGGUGCACAUUCAAAUGUAAGAACAAUAGAACAGUUUAAGUUACUUGGGGUUGAGUCUCUCAAGAGAAACGAUUAUUUUACUGCGGCAACACUGUACAGCGCGGCAAUGGAGUAUGACCGUCAUGAUGCCACCUUGUUGUCGGACAGGAGCUUUUGCUGGCUCUGCCUGGGUGAUGGACAUGAAGCUUUGCAGGAUGCACUUGCGUGCAGAGAAAUGAGGCCUGGCUGGCCAAACGCCUGCUACCGGCAGGGUGAAGCACUCAUGUUAUUGAAGGACUAUGGAGGUGCAUGCGAUGCUUUUCUGGAUGCAGCCAAGUUGGACCCAGGGAGUCCUGAGAUCGAGUCUGCGUUGUGGAAGGCUAUGAAUUCACUGAAGACAUCUUGUGGCGCAACACAGGCCGUUUGA
rnacentral:rRNA from 1 species